UGGGGAAUAUUGGACAAUGGGGGCAACCCUGAUCCAGCCAUGCCGCGUGUGUGAAGAAGGCCUUUUGGUUGUAAAGCACUUUAAGCAGUGAAGAAGACUCCAUGGUUAAUACCCAUGGACGAUGACAUUAGCUGCAGAAUAAGCACCGGCUAACUCUGUGCCAGCAGCCGCGGUAAUACAGAGGGUGCAAGCGUUAAUCGGAAUUACUGGGCGUAAAGCGAGCGUAGGUGGCUUGAUAAGUCAGAUGUGAAAGCCCCGGGCUUAACCUGGGAACGGCAUCUGAUACUGUUAGGCUAGAGUAGGUGAGAGGAAGGUAGAAUUCCAGGUGUAGCGGUGAAAUGCGUAGAGAUCUGGAGGAAUACCGAUGGCGAAGGCAGCCUUCUGGCAUCAUAUUGACACUGAGGUUCGAAAGCGUGGGUAGCAAACA
rnacentral:rRNA from 1 species